rnacentral:lncRNA from 1 species
AAUUAUGACAUUUUGGAGAGCAGGCGUCAUAAAGGAAAGUAAGAAGUGAACUGAAGUCAAAACAGAGAAUGCCUGAAGUUACAUUUUAGAUGCUGAAAUCACUGCACCUUAAAAACAAAAAAACUUCUGUCCUGUUGUGAUCAGUUCCAAAAUGAUGAAGCUUUGGACUUCUAUCUGACUAAUUAAAAAACACUAGGAGAUAACAAGAAAACUGCAAGCAGUUCAGAAUUACACAGCACCAAACAGACACAAAACUGUUUUCUGUAAGGUAAGUCAUCUUUGUAGAACUCUGCAA